rnacentral:rRNA from 1 species
UACGAAGGGGGCUAGCGUUGCUCGGAAUGACUGGGCGUAAAGGGCGCGUAGGCGGCUCAUACAGUCAGAUGUGAAAUUCCUGGGCUUAACCUGGGGGCUGCAUUUGAUACGUGUGGGCUUGAGUGGGGAAGAGGGUCGUGGAAUUCCCAGUGUAGAGGUGAAAUUCGUAGAUAUUGGGAAGAACACCAGUGGCGAAGGCGACUCGCUGGACAAGUAUUGACGCUGAGGUGCGAAAGCGUGGGGAGCAAACAGG